UGGUGACUUUAACAAGUUCCUACAAAUUCCACAUCAAGGAUAGUAAUAAGUAUAUAACAAACACACACAAUCAAUCAAUAAUCGAUUUAAGUAAAAAAGCAAUAAAAUAAUAACCUUAGCAAUAUCGUCGUUUAAUGGCUGAUGACAAACUGCAACGGCUUAUAAUUUUUUUCCAUUUCUACAUCUCUCUUUCAAAUCGAAUCAAGAUUUUUAGGGUUACAAACACGAAAUCGUUAGAACAAAUGUUUUAGGGUUUGAGUAAUCAAGAUUCACGAUGAAACAACGAAUCAGUUUCGCAACACGAAACCGUAUAAAAAGGAUAUGAAAUAGUUCGAACAAAUUUGUUAGGGUUUGAGUAAUCGAGAUUCAGGACGAAGAACGAAUCAGUUUCGCAAACGGAGAAGAAAUUGGGUAGAACGAAAGAUUGGUGGCAUUGUGGGUUUCUUAAUAUAGGGUUGAAUGAAUCGAUGAUGAAUUUGAAUGAAAUUGAAUUCAAAGAAAACGGUAACAAAGAAAAU
rnacentral:lncRNA from 1 species